rnacentral:tRNA from 1 species
GUCUUAGUAGCUCAGUAACAGAGCACCGGUC